GCGAACGCGAUGUGAUCGAAGCGGAACUGAACGCGAGAUUUCCUCAACUGCUGCUUGUUGCUGAUAUUACGGAGCCUUCAUCGUUGGAUUGCCCCAAGGACCUGGCCACAAAAUUGCAUUUAGCUCCAGCUUAACUAGAGGCCCACUAACCGAACUAGUUGAUAAGAAAAGCUUAGUAACGCUAGAUGUUAUUAUAUAUUUGUAUGUAGUUUGGCUUUUAGUUAAUCUAUGAUAUGCUCGUGCUUAUUAUUAUUAUUAUAAUCGUAAUUUGAAUAAAAAAUGCUUUGAUUUUAUUGCCAAUUUUGAUUUACGCUUUUUAAUAUUUGCGCUUAUUGAACACUCAUGAGGCGGAUCAGCAGACAACGCCGCUAACUGGAUCGAUUUAUGGAACUUCUCCAAAGCAGUGUAUUUGUGGUUGCUGUCCGACGGUGUUCGGUAGCUGUCAGCCAUAAGAUAUUUCCAUAGACACGCAGGCAGCCAAGGAGCAGGAGAAGAAGGAGAAGAAGGAGAAGCAGGAGGAGCAGGAUACCCGUAUAGCAGCAGCCACGAUUGAGUUGCAAGGCUUGCCAGACACCAGUCCAGACUUUGAGGGGAACGAGGAGCGUAAAGGCCACUGGCUCAGGAAACUCGAAAGUAGGCUGUGCUUUCACAAGGGUGUCUCGAGAAAAACCCAACUGAAAUCACACAAAAAUGUAUAAA